rnacentral:rRNA from 1 species
AAAUUGAAGAGUUUGAUCAUGGCUCAGAUUGAACGCUGGCGGCAGGCCUAACACAUGCAAGUCGAACGGUAACAGGAAACAGCUUGCUGUUUCGCUGACGAGUGGCGGACGGGUGAGUAAUGUCUGGGAAACUGCCCGAUGGAGGGGGAUAACUACUGGAAACGGUAGCUAAUACCGCAUAACGUCGCAAGACCAAAGAGGGGGACCUUCGGGCCUCUUGCUAUCGGAUGUGCCCAGAUGGGAUUAGCUAGUAGGUGGGGUAACGGCUCACCUAGGCGACGAUCCCUAGCUGGUCUGAGAGGAUGACCAGCCACACUGGAACUGAGACACGGUCCAGACUCCUACGGGAGGCAGCAGUGGGGAAUAUUGCACAAUGGGCGCAAGCCUGAUGCAGCCAUGCCGCGUGUAUGAAGAAGGCCUUCGGGUUGUAAAGUACUUUCAGCGGGGAGGAAGGGAGUAAAGUUAAUACCUUUACUCAUUGACGUUACCCGCAGAAGAAGCACCGGCUAACUCCGUGCCAGCAGCCGCGGUAAUACGGAGGGUGCAAGCGUUAAUCGGAAUUACUGGGCGUAAAGCGCACGCAGGCGGUUUGUUAAGUCAGAUGUGAAAUCCCCGGGCUCAACCUGGGAA